rnacentral:rRNA from 1 species
CGUGCACGCUGGCGGUAGGCCUAACACAUGCAAGUCGAACGGCAGCACAGUAAGAGCUUGCUCUUACGGGUGGCGAGUGGCGGACGGGUGAGGAAUACAUCGGAAUCUACUUUUUCGUGGGGGAUAACGUAGGGAAACUUACGCUAAUACCGCAUACGACCUACGGGUGAAAGCAGGGGAUCUUCGGACCUUGCGCGAUUGAAUGAGCCGAUGUCGGAUUAGCUAGUUGGCGGGGUAAAGGCCCACCAAGGCGACGAUCCGUAGCUGGUCUGAGAGGAUGAUCAGCCACACUGGAACUGAGACACGGUCCAGACUCCUACGGGAGGCAGCAGUGGGGAAUAUUGGACAAUGGGCGCAAGCCUGAUCCAGCCAUACCGCGUGGGUGAAGAAGGCCUUCGGGUUGUAAAGCCCUUUUGUUGGGAAAGAAAAGCAGCAGGUUAAUACCCCGCUGUUCUGACGGUACCCAAAGAAUAAGCACCGGCUAACUUCGUG